rnacentral:lncRNA from 1 species
CUAUUUAUAAGAGAAGUGGAACGUUCCGGCCGGGCGUCGUGGCUCACGGCUGUAAUCCCAGCACUUUGGGAGGCCAAGGCGGGCGGAUCACAAGGUCAAGAAAUCGAGACCAUCCUGGCCAACAUGGUGAAACCCCGUCUCUCUACUAAUACAAAAAAAAAAAAAAAAGUUAGCUGGGCAUGGUAGCGCCUGCGGGUAGUCCCAGCUACUCGGGGCACUAAGGCAGGAGAAUCGCUUGAACCUGGGAGGCUGAGGUUGCAGUGAGCUGAGAUCGCGCCACUGCACUCCAGCCUGGCAACAGAGCGACUGCGUCUAAAAAAAAAAAAAAAAAAAAAAAAAAAAAAAAAAGAUUCUACAGAUACUAAAAGAAUAGAAAUAUAAUAAGGUAAGCUUUAUGUGACUAAACAUGACACCUUUGAUAAAAUGGACACUUUCCUUGAAAAACAAAAAUUACCAAGGUCCAAUUUAAGAAGUAAUAACAUGAACUGUCCUAUAUCUCUAAAAGAAAGCAUAAGUAAAGCCUUCCUAGAAAGAAAACUCCAGGCCCAGAUAGCUAUGCUGGUGAAUUCUACCAAAUAUUUAAGAAGCAAUUUACAAAAAGAGAAAACUCCCUCAUGAACAUGGACGUAAAAACGUAACAUGCGAUAAUGAGCUAUCAUGCCAUGAGAAGACAUGAAGGAACCACAAAGGCAUAUUACCAAGUGAAAGAUGCCAGUCUAAAGGCUACAUGCUGUCUGAUACCAAUAACACUACUGUUUUAUCAUAUAAAAUGUCUGCAUUUGUGUUACUUCUAUUCAUCAAGUGCAUAGGUAAUUUUUUUACAGGUAAUGUAAAAUGCAGUAAUUUUCUACAACGGACAUUAAACUAUAAACAGAAACAGCAACAUUAAG